rnacentral:rRNA from 1 species
UACGGAGGGUGCGAGCGUUAAUCGGAAUUACUGGGCGUAAAGGGUGCGUAGGUGGUAUGAUAAGUCGUCUGUGAAAGACCUGGGCUUAACCUGGGUUGGUCAGAUGAUACUGUUGUACUCGAGUAUGGGAGAGGGUAGUGGAAUUUCCGGUGUAGCGGUGAAAUGCGUAGAGAUCGGAAGGAACACCAGUGGCGAAGGCGGCUACCUGGCCUGAUACUGACACUGAGGCACGAAAGCGUGGGGAGCAAACAGGAUUAGAUACCCUGGUAGUCCACGCUGUAAACGAUGUCAACUAGCUGUUGGUCAUAUGAAUGUGAUUAGUGGCGCAGCAAACGCGAUAAGUUGACCGCCUGGGGAGUACGGUCGCAAGAUUAAA